CCAUCUGAAAGAGUCCCAUUCAUCUUUAAUUGCAAUGGGAGAGUCGGUGUUCAGUGAAUUCUAGUUUUCUAUGCAAAUUUUAUGACCUGCUUCACCAUCUAUACUUCCUAAAUUUUACCUGUUAUUCCAUAAUGCACCCUGGUGCAUUGUUGCUUCUUAUCUGAACCAAAGUCAUCUCUAGAAAAAAAAGUGGGGUGUUCUAUCAAUUCUCAUUAGUGUCUUAUUGUUCAGUGAGAUGUUCUCAUUUCAUUUUUUUAGAAUGUCAUUGAAUACUGUAUCGAUGAAUUGUCAAAUGUUAUUCCUGACUAGGUGGUGGCAAAUAAUGAGACAGGAAAAGCAUCUUGUCAUCAUAAAGGAAGAACUUUCCACGUUAUACUACAUAUCAGUCUUUUUUGAUCAAAAAUUGAGGCAACAGAUUGUGGAAAGAACGUGUUUAAAGACAUGAUAGUAGGAAUUUAAUGGAAAGUGAUUCACAAAUGCAAAGAAUGAGGUAUGUACCAGUGGAAAAUACUCAACAUACCAAAGGAGUGUUGGCUUAAAUGUUGAUGAGGCCCGUAUGCAAAAACAUUCCAACUUCCCACUUCAGCACAUGCAGUGUCCUUGGAUGUGGUUUUGCCAAGCUGUAUGACUAAAUAAAGCAUUAUAACAGAGAA